rnacentral:rRNA from 1 species
GACGAACGCUGGCGGCGUGCUUAACACAUGCAAGUCGAACGGAAAGGCCCUGCUUUUGUGGGGUGCUCGAGUGGCGAACGGGUGAGUAACACGUGAGUAACCUGCCCUUGACUUUGGGAUAACUUCAGGAAACUGGGGCUAAUACCGGAUAGGAGCUCCUGCUGCAUGGUGGGGGUUGGAAAGUUUCGGCGGUUGGGGAUGGACUCGCGGCUUAUCAGCUUGUUGGUGGGGUAGUGGCUUACCAAGGCUUUGACGGGUAGCCGGCCUGAGAGGGUGACCGGCCACGUGGGGAAUGGGAAACGGCCCAGGCCCCUGCGGGGGGCAGCGGUGGGGAAUUUGACACAAGGGGGGGAAGCCGGAUGCAGCAACGCCGGGGGGGGGAUGACGGCCUUCGGGUUGUAAACCGCUUUGGCCUGGGACGAAGGGUGAGGGACGGUAAUGGGUAAAGAAGCACCGGCUAACUACGU